GUACAUGGAGGGACUCCUCAGUCUGAUGAAAUUGAACAUCAUUCCACAACAUUCAGUCAAGGUGCCAGAUCCUAUGACGUUGCAUCAAUUAUGCUGCAUGACUACUGUGAGGCUGUGUGUGAAGACGAUAUCAGUUGCAUAAGAUAUGGAUCAUCGCAAACAGAAAUGGUGGAAGUUAGAAGCAUGUCUACUCAAACUGACGAUGUAAUGUUCCAGUGUUUGAAUCCUGUGAAAACAUCCUGUGCAAUGACUCAGACUGAGACUGAAAAUAAAAAAGUCUUUCGCAAUCAAGCCACUCAAGUCAAGCUUCCUGAUUUAACAUUUUUUGAUGUGACGAAUGAUUCAGAAUUGGCAACUAUUAUACAGGUCUUGUGGAUGCAGAAAAGUUUUCAUGUUUAUUUGACGAGUUUUCUGAGGUUCAUGACAGGGACUAUCCAACAUCCAAUAUCGGACGCCCUAAAUCUUUGUCUUUGAUAGACGAGUUCUUUCUAGUGUUGAUGCGUCUUAGACUUGGACUCCUAGUUGUUGAUUUAUCAAAGCGAUUUCAUAUUUCCAGAAGCUGCUGUGCUGAUGUCAUUAAUAGAUGGAUUGAUAUUUUGUACAACAAUUUAUCCUUCCUAGUUGUCUGGCCAUCAAUGGAUACUAUUAAUACAACUAUGCCUCAAGGUUUUAAAGACCUGUAUCCAAAUACAAGGGUUGUUAUAGAUUGUACAGAAUUAUUUACAGAAAAACCUUACUCUAUUGGUAAACAGUCACAAAUGUACAGACAUUAUAAAAGUCACACAACAUUUAAAGCGCUUGUUGGUGUCACUCCAAAUGGUGUUGUUAGCUUUGUCUCUGACUUGUGGUCAGGAGCUAUAAGUGACCGGCAAAUAACAGUAGAAUCAGGACUUUUAGAUUUGUGUGAUGUAGGUGAUGCAAUCAUGGCGGAUAAGGGAUUUACAAUCUCAGACUUGACAACACCAAAAGGUAUACUCCUAAUAAUUCCACCAAAGAAACAUAAGAGAAAACAGCUGACUGCUGUAGAAAUUGAACAAACUAGGAGAAUAGCAAACUUGAGAAUCCAUGUUGAAAGGCACAUGGAACGUGUCAAGAAUUUCAGAAUUUUGCAGGGUAUAAUUCCAAUUACAAUUUCAAAAUCUGUAAACAAAAUCU